UGGCGGACGGGUGAGUAACGCGUGGAAAACCGUGCCGUAUACUCGGGGGAUAACACUUAGAAAUAGGUGCUAAUACCGCAUAAGCGCACAGCUUCGCAUGAAGCGGUGUGUAAAAACUCUGGUGGUAUACGAUGGUUCCGCGUCUGAUUAGCUAGUUGGGUGGGGUAAUGGCCUACCAAGGCAACGAUCAGUAGCCGGCCUGAGAGGGUGAACGGCCACAUUGGGACUGAGACACGGCCCAAACUCCUACGGGAGGCAGCAG
rnacentral:rRNA from 1 species